UACGAAGGGGGCUAGCGUUGCUCGGAAUGACUGGGCGUAAAGGGCGCGUAGGCGGUUGUCAUAGUCAGACGUGAAAUUCCUGGGCUUAACCUGGGGACUGCGUUUGAAACGUGAUGACUGGAGUUCGGAAGAGGGUUGUGGAAUUCCCAGUGUAGAGGUGAAAUUCGUAGAUAUUGGGAAGAACACCGGUGGCGAAGGCGGCAACCUGGUCCGAUACUGACGCUGAGGCGCGAAAGCGUGGGGAGCAAACAGG
rnacentral:rRNA from 1 species